rnacentral:rRNA from 1 species
AUUGUGAUCAGCUGAGAUUGAGCUCUUUUCAACUUGAGAGUUUGAUCCUGGCUCAGAGCGAACGCUGGCGGCAGGCUUAACACAUGCAAGUCGAACGGGCAUCGUCAGAUGUCAGUGGCAGACGGGUGAGGAACACGUGGGAACGUACCCUUCGGUUCGGAACAACUCCGGGAAACUGGAGCUAAUACCGGAUACGCCCUUUUGGGGAAAGGUUUAUCCGCCGAAGGAUCGGCCCGCGUCUGAUUAGCUAGUUGGUGGGGUAACGGCCC